CCAUGGCUAGGCUCUCGGUUUGUUCGGCGGAGGAGGCGAGGACGUCCUUGGCAAAGCCGUCGAUCAAGAUCCCAGCUGAGUUGCGGCGUACACAAGCUAUUGAACCUUCAAAGGAACCAGGUUGCUGCAGCUUUUCCCAUCCUGAUCAAGAGGCCCUCAUUCGCAUGCGUUGAAGAAUUCCAUGCUGUUUGUAUAACUUCUUUGCAUUCUUCAUCUUCUAGCCAAAAAGCUUCGAAACUGAAAUUUUUCUUCUGCCUCUUACGGGCUUGAUAGGUAGACAAUAGGAUCGAGCUAUGGUCAGAACCAAUAGCCGGUAAUGCAUAGAUUUCUGCCUCAGGGAAUUGUA